AUACCCCUUCGGUUUGAAGCAACUGGUUCCAGUACCGAUGGCCGCAGGUUCGACUCCCAG
rnacentral:tRNA from 12 species